rnacentral:rRNA from 1 species
CGCGCAGGCGGAUCCUGCAAGUCCGGAGUGAAAUCUCACUGCUCAACGGUGAGGCUGCUUUGGAUACUGCGGAUCUGGAGACCGGUAGAGGCUGGUAGAAUUGCAGGUGUAGCGGUGGAAUGCGUAGAGAUCUGCAAGAAUACCCGUGGCGAAGGCGGCCAGCUGGGCCGGUUCUGACGCUGAGGCGCGAAAGCGUGGGGAGCAAACAGGAUUAGAUACCCUGGUAGUCCACGCCGUAAACGAUGGGCACUAGGUGCUGGGGGGAGCGACCCCGUCAGUGCCGUAGCUAACGCGAUAAGUGCCCCGCCUGGGGAGUACGGCCGCAAGGCUGAA